UUACGGCCACAUCGUGUUGAAACAUCGGUUCCCGUACGAUCACGGAAGUUAAGUAACAUCGAGCCUGGUCAGUAACUAGAUGGGUGACCACUUGAGAAUACUAGGUGUUGUAAG